AUUGAACGCUGGCGGAAUGCUUUACACAUGCAAGUCGAACGGCAGCACGGGUGCUUGCACCUGGUGGCGAGUGGCGAACGGGUGAGUAACAUAUCGGAACGUACCCAGUAAUGGGGGAUAACUAGUCGAAAGAUUAGCUAAUACCGCAUACGCCCUGAGGGGGAAAGCGGGGGAUCGUAAGACCUCGCGUUAUUGGAGCGGCCGAUAUCUGAUUAGCUAGUUGGUGGGGUAAAGGCCUACCAAGGCGACGAUCAGUAGCUGGUCUGAGAGGACGACCAGCCACACUGGAACUGAGACACGGUCCAGACUCCUACGGGAGGCAGCAGUGGGGAAUUUUGGACAAUGGGCGCAAGCCUGAUCCAGCCAUUCCGCGUGAGUGAAGAAGGCCUCGGGUUGUAAAGCUCUUUCGCAAGGGAAGAAAACGAUACGAGCGAAUAACUCGUGUUAAUGACGGUACCUUGAUAAGAAGCACCGGCUAACUACGUGCCAGCAGCCGCGGUAAUACGUAGGGUGCGAGCGUUAAUCGGAAUUACUGGGCGUAAAAGCGUGCGCAGGCGGUUUUGUAAGUCAGAUGUGAAAAUCCCCGGGCUCAACCUGGGAACUGCGUUUGAAACUACAAGGCUAGAGUAUAGGAGAGGGGGGUAGAAUUCCACGGUGUAGCAGUGAAAUGCGUAGAGAAUGUGGAGGAAUACCAAUGGCGAAAGGCAGCCCCUGGCCUAAUACUGACGCUCAUGCACGAAAAGCGUGGGGAGCAAAACAAGGAUUA
rnacentral:rRNA from 1 species